AAUAUUGGACAAUGGGCGCAAGCCUGAUCCAGCCAUGCCGCGUGAGUGAUGAAGGCCCUAGGGUUGUAAAGCUCUUUCACCGGUGAAGAUAAUGACGGUAACCGGAGAAGAAGCCCCGGCUAACUUCGUGCCAGCAGCCGCGGUAAUACGAAGGGGGCUAGCGUUGUUCGGAAUUACUGGGCGUAAAGCGCACGUAGGCGGAUCGGUCAGUUAGGGGUGAAAUCCCAGGGCUCAACCCUGGAACUGCCUUUAAUACUGCCGGUCUGGAGUUCGAGAGAGGUGAGUGGAAUUCCGAGUGUAGAGGUGAAAUUCGUAGAUAUUCGGAGGAACACCAGUGGCGAAGGCGACACGCUGGGCCUGGCCUGACGCUGAGAGGCGAAAGCAUGGGGAGCGAACGGG
rnacentral:rRNA from 1 species